ensembl:lncRNA
UUCCAGUUCAAAAGUACCUUAAUCCUUUUUUCGCAGCCCACGUUCAAAGACAGAUAUUUUUUUUUUAUUGCUCUCUCUCUGGUUUUAUGAUUAUUCAGCAGGCAAAGAGCUGACCUGUGGAUAUAUUGUCACGGCAAGGCCAUGCCUCCUGCCUGUGUGGUGUGGUAGGGGCGUGGCCCCCGAUGAGAAGUCACCUCACCUGCUCAGUUAUCCAUCCUCUCGGUUCCCCAGUCUGUCUGCCGCUUCCUGCCUGGAUUCUCCUGCCUGGAUUCUCCCGCCUGGAUUUCCCUGCCAUUCCCCACUGUCUCCAGAGCUAUGUCCCUGGCUAUAAACCAGUUUCCCCCGUACCUUCUAGUCUCUGCAUUUGGGUCCGCCACCACAUACCGUAACAUAUAUAGAAACCAGAAAAGUAUGAAUAAAUGUUCUUGACAUAAAAAAGGCUAAAAGAAAAAGCUCAGAUAACUCCCGAUAGCAUUCUAACAUGUGUGUAUCUGUACCUUCAUAACAUGGAUAGACAGCAAUCCAGAGGAAAGAGAGAAACCGGGUCCUUCAUUUAUUUGCACUCUUGUUGCAAACUGCACACGCACACUCUGGUGCAGGCACUCCCCAGAGUGAAGUUUCACUUACACACAAACGUGUUCUACUAAAGAGCAUCAGCGGAAUGAUGAUGUUGAGAAAAAGGAGGAGGCGCGAAUUUGGAUGUAUAGCAAAAGGAUCGUGAAAAAAGUGAAAUCCAAAUGGAAGGCAAAAAACAUUAAGGCAACUGACAUAUUUCACUCUCCUUAAAAUCUUUGAUUAGGCCAAUGGCACGUUUUAUAUGUUUCAGAUAUGGAUCUUAUAUUAUUAUAUUUGACAUUAAAAAUAACCCAUACGUUUUUGGUAUACAAUAUGAUGUGCAGUAAAUUUAAUAUACAUUUUCAGCAAUAUAUAAAUUCAACAUGCUGCCCAACAUCAAGAGAAUAUGUCCUCUUCUCACUCAGAAAGAAGAUGGUCCAGUUUUACGUCCUUGCCCACUCGCUCUGCAUCUGCCAAUCGGCGAGCUAAAAACUAUUCAAACACUUAUUUUUUAAUUGCCUUCCUUAAAAAGGGAAGGAUUGAGAUUGGACUAUAUUGUUUCAUUUUUGUGUUGUCUAAAUUAGCCUUUUUUAGAAGUGGUUUAAUAAAUACAAUUUUAGGGCCCAUGACAAAACACAUGAGAAUAAAGGGAUAUGUUUACAAUUUGUAAAAGAUCAUUGGUCAUGCAGUCUGAAAUAUUGUUGAAAAAGUAUGUUUGUAUAACAUCUAAGCAGCAGGACCAGAUAGCAAACUGACUCUGAUCCAGAUCCGUCCCAGAGUUAUCAUAGGCUCCGGACAGAUGCGCAAAACUCAGCAGCUAAUCAGCUGUUUGACAGUGCGCAAUCCGUUGGAGGGGCUGAUCCGGUGCACCAAACCCGAGUGUGACAGUACGGGGGAUGUGCCAACAUCUGCCCCCGGGGUCGACUGCGAUCUGGGGACGAGGACUUCAGAUGUUGUAUAAUGUCUUCCAGACUUCCAUUGUUGGUUGAAUUAAAUUGUGUCAGGAUAUUUAAAUAGAUAUGGGGACAUCAAAUAUCCCGUGGUUGGUGUGAAGGCACCUACUACUUGUCUAAUUAUCUGAAUUUUUUCAGUAAAAAAGUAGGUAAAUUGUUUGGAUUGAAACCUCACAGUUUCUAACACUGUCAACCGUGGAAAAAUAAUGCAGGUGCGUUGUUACAGUUUUCAGUUAUGGUAUCAGAAGAAAGACUGUCUUGCAUGUCUCAGACAACCUCCACUUUAGUGGGUGCCAUGACAUCAAUAAUAUUCCUAACAGAAUUUCUCUGCAGGCUAAAUGACUGAUUCUGAUUCUAGAGAGGGCUAGUGUAGAAUAUACAUAGUGAUUAAAUAAUCACCCUAUUAUUGUAUAACAAAAUAUAGCUAAUUAUUUUUUGUGUCAGAUCUAUAGUGGAUCUAUAUACUGACAGCGAAAUAUUGAGAUUAAGCAUGUCCAGUGUUUGGGUGUCUCUCUAAAGGCAA